rnacentral:lncRNA from 10 species
CAGACGUCCAUGUGGCUGUGUCCAGCCAAUGGCCUAAUGUGCACCAUGAUCCAGUGAGAUCAGGAAUGCUUGCAGCGACUUUCCUUCUCAAUGCAGCCCCUUUUACCUUUAUUAGGAGUACUCAGCACCUUCUUAGACACGGCUCAGAUUCAGGGCCCAGAUCUGCCACAGCUCGACCUCAGAUAUCCCUUUUGAUGACUGACAUUGUUCAUGGCCCAGGGAUAUGCUUCUCAACAUCUUUGUCUAAUGUCCUUGAAACAGUAAAUGACUGCAUCUGAAUGCUAUGGAAAUUCUGGGGUUGCAUCCCUGUUGUCAGCACAGACAAAAGCACUACUCCAGAGUAUAGGGAAAAUUUAAGUGGUGAGAUCUUUUGGGAGACAGAAAAGGCCCUACAAAUGUGAGGAAUGGGACUGGAACACAACAUUUGUUGCUGAAGUUACAUAUUU